rnacentral:rRNA from 1 species
AUUGAACGCUGGCGGCAUGCUUUACACAUGCAAGUCGAACGGCAGCGCGGUCUUCGCUUUCGCUUACAGUUGGCGACGGGUGAGCAAUAGAGGGGAACGUGCGCAGCUGCGUGUGCGAGGUCGGUGAAGGAGGGAAUAAUACGCCAUACGACCAGACGGCGAACGCGGGGGAGCAUCGGAUCUUGCGCCAUUGCACCGGCCGAUGGCGGAUUAGCUAGUUGGUGGGGUAAAGGCCUACCAAGGCGACGAUCUGUAGCUGGUCUGAGAGGACGACCAGCCACACUGGAACUGAGACACGGCCCAGACUCCUACGGGAGGCAGCAGUGGGGAAUUUUGGACAAUGGGCGCAAGCCUGAUCCAGCAAUGCCGCGUGUGUGAUGAAGGCCUUCGGGUUGUAAAGCCCUUUUGGCGGGAACGAAAAGCACUGUGCCAAUACCACGGUUUGCUGACGGUACCCAAAGAAUAAGCACCGGCUAACUACGUG